rnacentral:rRNA from 1 species
CAAGAGGAGCUUGCUCCUCAAACUUAGUGGCGGACGGGUGAGUAACGUGUGGGCAACCUGCCUUUUACAGGGGAAUAAUCACUGGAAACGGUGACUAAUACCGCAUACGAUCUUUGGAAGGCAUCUUCUGGAGAGGAAAGGAGCAAUCCGGUAAAAGAUGGGCCCGCAUCUGAUUAGCUAGUUGGUGAGAUAAUAGCCCACCAAGGCAACGAUCAGUAGCCGACCUGAGAGGGUGAUCGGCCACAUUGGGACUGAGACACGGCCCAAACUCC